ACCCUAUUAUAAAAAAUUUAAAUUUAAAUAUUAGGGUAGUAUUAGUUAUAUUCUUGAAAUUUAAAAAAUUUGGCGGUAUUUUAGUCUUUUCAGAGGAACCUGUCCUAUAAUUGAUAAUCCACGAUAAGUUUUACUUAAUAUACAAGUUUAUAUAUCGUCGUAGUUUGAAUAUCUUAAAAGAGUAAAAAUUUUCAAAAUUUUAAAUAUAAAAAUAAAUCAGAUCAAGGUGUAGCUAAUAUUUAAGGAGUGAUGGGUUACAAUAAAAUUAUUUAUAUGGUUAUAAUAGUUCAAAAAAUUAUUUAAAGUGGAUUUGAAAGUAAUAUAUUUAAUAUUAAAAUAUAUGAUUAAAGCUCUAAAAUAUG
rnacentral:rRNA from 1 species